rnacentral:rRNA from 1 species
UUCGCUAUUAGCCAUGCAUGUGUAAAUUACAAGCCAAAUUUAAGGUGAAACCGCGGAAGGCUCCAUUAUAUCAGUUAUUGGUUCAUUGGAUUGUACCCAGUUACUUGGAUAACUGCGGAAAUACUGGAGCUAAUACAUGCCAACGGAGUUCUGACCGGAGACGGAAGGAACGCUUUUAUUAGAUCAAAACCGAUCGGUGGCUUGCUGCCGUGACUUAUGGUGACUCUGAAUAACUUUGGGCUGAUCGCACGGCCUUGUGCCGGCGACGCAUCUUUCAAAUGUCUGCCUUAUCAACUUUCGAUGGUAGGUUCUGUGCCUACCAUGGUUGUUACGGGUAACGGGGAAUCAGGGUUCGAUUCCGGAGAGGGAGCCUGAGACACGGCUACCACAUCCAAGGAAGGCAGCAGGCGCGCAAAUUACCCACUCCCGGCACGGGGAGGUAGUGACGAAAGAUAACGAUACGGGACUCAUCCGAGGCCCCGUAAUCGGAAUGGCAACACUUUAAAUCCUUUAUGGAGGACCAAACUGAGGGCAAGUCUGGUGCCAGCAGCCGCGGUAAUUCCAGCUCAGUUAGCGUAUUUCAAAGUUGUUGCGGUUAAAAAGCUCGUAGUUGGAUCUGUGUCUCGCACCGCCGGUUCACCGCCCGUCGGUGUUCAACUGGCGCGAUGCGAAACGUCCUGUCGGUGGCGUGUCUAGCUGGCCCUUCGGGGUUGGGCGGCGCCGAUCAGAUCCCGUCGCGGUGCUCUUUACUGAGUGUCGAGGUGGGCCGACACAUUUACUUUGAACAAAUUAGAGUGCUCAAAGCAGGCUCAUGAUUGCCUGAAUAUAUCUGCAUGGAAUAAUAGAAUAGGACUUCGGUUCUAUUUUGUUGGUUUUCGGAACCAGAAGUAAUGAUUAAUGGAGACAGGCGGGGGCAUUCGUAUUGCAACGUUAGAGUGAUCUUGUG